rnacentral:rRNA from 1 species
AGAGUCUUAUCCUGGCUCAGGAUGAACGCUAGCGGCAGGCUUAACACAUGCAAGUCGAGGGGCAGCGGGGAGGAAGCUUGCUUUCUCCGCCGGCGACCGGCGCACGGGUGAGUAACACGUAUGCAACCUGCCCCUGUCAGGGGGACAACCCGCCGAAAGGCGGGCUAAACCCGCGUACAUGCCACCGGGGCAUCCCGGAGGCAGGAAAGGCUUCGGCCGGACAGGGAUGGGCAUGCGGCGCAUUAGGCAGUAGGCGGGGUAACGGCCCACCUAACCGACGAUGCGUAGGGGUUCUGAGAGGAAGGUCCCCCACACUGGUACUGAGACACGGACCAGACUCCUACGGGAGGCAGCAGUGAGGAAUAUUGGUCAAUGGUCGGGAGACUGAACCAGCCAAGCCGCGUGAGGGAGGAAGGUACAGAGUAUCGUAAACCUCUUUUGUCAGGGAACAAAGGCGGGGACGUGUCCCCGGAUGAGUGUACCUGAAGAAAAAGCAUCGGCUAACUCCGUGCCAGCAGCCGCGGUAAUACGGAGGAUGCGAGCGUUAUCCGGAUUUAUUGGGUUUAAAGGGUGCGCAGGCGGUCUGUUAAGUCAGCGGUCAAAGCCCGGGGCUCAACCCCGGCCCGCCGUUGAAACUGGCAGUCUCGAGUUGGAGAGAAGUAUGCGGAAUGCGCGGUGUAGCGGUGAAAUGCAUAGAUAUCGCGCAGAACUCCGAUUGCGAAGGCAGCAUGCCGGCUCCACACUGACGCUGAGGCACGAAAGCGUGGGUAUCGAACAGGAUUAGAUACCCUGGUAGUCCACGCAGUAAACGAUGAAUGCUGGCUGUCCGGGGGGAUUGACCCCUGGGUGGCGAAGCGAAAGCGAUAAGCAUUCCACCUGGGGAGUACGCCGGCAACGGUGAAACUCAAAGGAAUUGACGGGGGCCCGCACAAGCGGAGGAACAUGUGGUUUAAUUCGAUGAUACGCGAGGAACCUUACCCGGGCUCAAACGGGGAGUGACUCAGGCAGAGACGCCUGUUUCCCACGGGACACUCCCCGAGGUGCUGCAUGGUUGUCGUCAGCUCGUGCCGUGAGGUGUCGGCUUAAGUGCCAUAACGAGCGCAACCCCCGCGUGCAGUUGCUAACAGAUAACGCUGAGGACUCUGCACGGACUGCCGGCGCAAGCCGCGAGGAAGGCGGGGAUGACGUCAAAUCAGCACGGCCCUUACGUCCGGGGCGACACACGUGUUACAAUGGGUGGUACAGCGGGAAGCCAGGCGGCGACGCCGAGCGGAACCCGAAAUCCACUCUCAGUUCGGAUCGGAGUCUGCAACCCGACUCCGUGAAGCUGGAUUCGCUAGUAAUCGCGCAUCAGCCAUGGCGCGGUGAAUACGUUCCCGGGCCUUGCACACACCGCCCGUCA